GAUGAACGCUGGCGGCGUGCCUAAUACAUGCAAGUCGAGCGAACAGAUAAGGAGCUUGCUCCUUUGACGUUAGCGGCGGACGGGUGAGUAACACGUGGAUAACCUACCUAUAAGACUGUGAUAACUUCGGGAAACCGGAGCUAAUACCGGAUAACAUAUUGAACCGCAUGGUUCAAUAGUGAAAGGCGGCUUUGCUGUCACUUAUAGAUGGAUCCGCGCCGUAUUAGUUAGUUGGUAAGGUAACGGCUUACCAAGGCAACGAUACGUAGCCGACCUGAGAGGGUGAACGACCACACUGGAACUGAGACACGGUCCAGACGCCUACGGAAGGCAGCAGUAGGGAAUCUUCCGCAAUGGGCGAAAGCCUGACGGAGCAACGCCGCGUGAGUGAUGAAGGUCUUCGGAUCGUAAAACUCUGUUAUCAGGGAAGAACAAAUGUGUAAGUAACUGUGCACGUCUUGACGGUACCUGAUCAGAAAGCCACGGCUAACUACGUGCCAGCCGCCGCGGUAA
rnacentral:rRNA from 1 species